rnacentral:tRNA from 1 species
ACAGUGGCGGUUCAGUGGUAGAAUUCUUGCCUUCCAUGCAGGAGACCCAGGUUCAAUUUCCUGCCAAUACA